rnacentral:rRNA from 1 species
CUACGGGUGGCAGCAGUCGAGAAUCAUUCACAAUGGGGGAAGCCCUGAUGGUGCGACGCCGCGUGGGGGAUAAGGUCUUCGGAUUGUAAACCCCUGUCAUGUGGGACAUUAAAAGAUAGUACCACAAGAGGAAGAGACGGCUAACUCUGUGCCAGCAGCCGCGGUAAUACAGAGGUCUCAAGCGUUGUUCGGAAUCACUGGGCGUAAAGCGUGCGUAGGCGGUUUCGUAAGUCGUGUGUGAAAGGCGGGGGCUCAACCCCCGGACUGCACAUGAUACUGCGAGACUAGAGUAAUGGAGGGGGAACCGGAAUUCUCGGUGUAGCAGUGAAAUGCGUAGAUAUCGAGAGGAACACUCGUGGCGAAGGCGGGUUCCUGGACAUUAA